GGGUCAGUAGGCUGGUCGUGCCACCGGUACGUACUGGUCUCACUGAUUCCUCCCUCCUGAAGAACCGUAAUGCCAUUAAUUUGGUGUUGCGGGGAAACAGGACUGUUACUUUGAAAAAAUUAGAGUGUUUAAAGCAAGCUAACGCUUGAAUACAUUAGCAUGGAAUAAUGAAAUAGGACGAUCGAUCCUAUUUUGUUGGUUUCUAGGAUUGACGCG
rnacentral:rRNA from 1 species